AGCAGGCUGUGGGUGCACGCUGCACAACGACGGGACUAAAGCGCCAGUCGGGUGGGGUGGGUGGAGGUCGCCACCCUUCUCAAGGGGACCUCGGCUGCAAGAUUUGAUGCUGUCACAGAACAGUUAUUUCACAAUCUCUACCCAGGACCAGUCGCAACCGUUUCCAAGAUCGUCCUGGAUCGUCAAUAAGUACAUUCGUUUUCUGAGAGGGACGUAUUUUGAUGAAGAGCAGAAAGCACAAUGGAGAGAAUGUCAGGAGGAAUUAAAUCAAGGAGUGACAUAAUUCCCAGGGGGAGGCAGAGAGAACAUCCUUCGUGUAUGAAGCAGGCAAUGGUUCGAGUUGUCCUUGACUGUGCUGGAUAUCUUUAAUCAGAACCAGGC
rnacentral:lncRNA from 1 species